GAUGAACGCUGGCGGCGUGCCUAAUACAUGCAAGUCGAGCGAACGGACGAGAAGCUUGCUUUUCUGACGUUAGCGGCGGACGGGUGAGUAACACGUGGAUAACCUACCUAUAAGACUGGGAUAACUUCGGGAAACCGGAGCUAAUAACGGAUAAUAUUUUGAACCGCAUGGUUCAAAAGUGAAAAACGGUCUUGCUGUCACUUAUAGAUGGAUCCGCGCUGCAUUAGCUAGUUGGUAAGGUAACGGCUUACCAAGGCAACGAUGCAUAGCCGACCUGAGAGGGUGAUCGGCUACACGGGAACUGAGACACGGUCCAGACUCCUACGGGAGGCAGCAGUAGGGAAUCUUCCGCAAUGGGCGAAAGCCUGACGGAGCAACGCCGCGUGAGUGAUGAAGGUCUUCGGAUCGUAAAACUCUGUUAUUAGGGAAGAACAUAUGUGUAAGUAACUGUGCACAUCUUGACGGUACCUAAUCAGAAAGCCACGGCUAACUACGUG
rnacentral:rRNA from 1 species